GACAAUGUUAAGAACACAUAUUUUAAUGUAAUAACUUGUAUUGUAGCACUCUGUAACUGUUUGUAUUUUUCUACUCUGUAUCUUAUGUUUGCAACAAAUAGCUGCGUGCAGAAUAAUGCCGCUGUCAGCAAGAGGGGUAUCCACAGAUAGCACCAAGCAUCCUGUCUUCUAAAUGUGAACGCUAACAUGUUGUGGCACUAGCCACACAAGUGUUUAAAUAAACACUCCCUUUAGUUAAAAUGCCUGGCCAGGUAACUUCUUAAUUAUUGUAUCUAUUUAAUUAAGGAUUCCCCUUUAAGAAGGCUGAACUCCCAUGAGCCUUUGUUCUUUUUUAAACAGGUAGAGGGUUGAAGGGAGGCAGGUUUUGUGUUCUGGGUUCCUCCAUUUUGUGUAUGGCGGUGUGGUUUGUGUGCAGGUUCUCAAUGGGUUCCAGUUGACUUUCAGGAUUUUAUUUACAAGAAAAUUAUAUUAAAUAAGAACUAUACCUACCUUGGAGCAUCUCUUGGACAACUUGUUGCUGUUGGACUGCCACUGGAACUACAGAAUAAGCAUCAACAAACAAACAGUCAGGUCUGUGAGGAUGAGAAGGUCUCCACAGUCUGGAGUCUGGUCUCUGACAGGCUCAACAUACCUGUCAAUCAACAGGGACUCCUCUACAAAGGCAAGGCGCUGGCAGGUAGGCUGAACAGCACAGCACAGCUCACCCCUCCUCUCACCCCUCACCUCACCCCUCCUCUCAACACUCCUCGCACGCCUCGCCUCACCCCGGGUCAGUGUGGCACAGCCUGCCUGCUCUUCUGAACAAACACUUCAGCCCUGCCGACGCAGUGACAGUCUGGAGCAGCAACACAAGGUGAUGAAGUGACACUUUGAAUAUGGGGCCUGAUGAGAGAAGUAUCCUUUUCAUGUGGUUUUGGUUUUGCCGUUGUGAGCAGGUGUGGGAGACAGCACCGUGUCUGCAUGUGAAAUAACAAAGUCAUCGCAGUGGAGAGACUCUCUGAAGGCUGCUGUUUGUGGAUUUGUCUUGUAAUGUGAGUGAUCUACUGUACUGUGAUGCCACUGUCUGUACGCACGCUGCACUGCAGGGGAGACACCGCUGGCAUUCACAGGGCAUGCUUGUUCAUUUAAAGCAUGCUGCACUGCAGGGGAGACACCGCUGGCAUUCACAGGGCAUGCUUGUUCAUUUAAAGCAUGCUGCACUGCAGGGGAGACACCGCUGGCAUUCACAGGGCAUGCUUGUUCAUUUAAAGCACGCUGCACUGCAGGGGAGACACCGCUGGCAUUCACAGGGCAUGCUUGUUCAUUUAAAGCACGCUGCACUGCAGGGGAGACACCAACCUUCUGGACAAAGCCAAAACAGAUAGAGGAGUGACCAAAGUGAUCCUAUCAUUCGGAAUCAACAACAAGGACCAGAAAGUCAAAGAGACAGCUAUCAAAAACCUACAAAGGAUGUACAGGUCAGCAAAGACAACCUUCCCAACUGCAGAAAUCAAAGUGCCACUGGUGAACUUCUCACGAGCACUAGACAUGCAGGCCCAACGGAACUUGGAAGAACUAAACGGAUUCAUCUCAGCCAACCUACCACACAUACCGCUAUUACCAACUGAGAAAUUUCAAGCUGGCGGAGACAACAUCCACUGGACAACCAACACAGCCAAAGAUAUGCUCCAGCACUGGUGCCAGCAUUUAAACUAGGA